GGGGCUGAUUCUGGAUUCGACGGGAUUUGCGAAACCCAAGGUGCAUGCCGAGGGGCGGUUGGCCUCGUAAAAAGCCGCAAAAAAAUAGUCGCAAACGACGAAAACUACGCUUUAGCAGCUUAAUAACCUGCUUAGAGCCCUCUCUCCCUAGCCUCCGCUCUUAGGACGGGGAUCAAGAGAGGUCAAACCCAAAAGAGAUCGCGUGGAUGCCCUGCCUGGGGUUGAAGCGUUAAAGCGAAUCAGGCUAGUCUGGUAGUGGCGUGUCCGUCCGCAGGUGCCAGGCGAAUGUAAAGACGAACUAAGCAUGUAGUACCGAGGAUGUAGGAAUUUCGGACGCGGGUUCAACUCCCGCCAGCUCCACCA
rnacentral:tmRNA from 3 species